AGUGAACGCUGGCGGUAGGCCUAACACAUGCAAGUCGAACGGCAGCACAGUAAGAGCUUGCUCUUACGGGUGGCGAGUGGCGGACGGGUGAGGAAUACAUCGGAAUCUACUUUUUCGUGGGGGAUAGCGUAGGGAAACUUACGCUAAUACCGCAUACGACCUACGGGUGAAAGCAGGGGAUCUUCGGACCUUGCGCGAUUGAAUGAGCCGAUGUCGGAUUAGCUAGUUGGCGGGGUAAAGGCCCACCAAGGCGACGAUCCGUAGCUGGUCUGAGAGGAUGAUCAGCCACACUGGAACUGAGACACGGUCCAGACUCCUACGGGAGGCAGCAGUGGGGAAUAUUGGACAAUGGGCGCAAGCCUGAUCCAGCCGUACCGCGUGGGUGAAGAAGGCCUUCGGGUUGUAAAGCCCUUUUGUUGGGAAAGAAAAGCAGCAGGUUAAUACCCCGCUGUUCUGACGGUACCCAAAGAAUAAGCACCGGCUAACUUCGUG
rnacentral:rRNA from 1 species